rnacentral:rRNA from 1 species
GGUGUAGGCGGCUUGAUAAGUUGGGUGUGAAAGCCCUGGGCCCAACCCAGGAAAUGCACUCGAAACUGUCUCGCUAGAGUCCCGGAGAGGGUGGCGGAAUUCCCGGUGUAGAGGUGAAAUUCGUAGAUAUCGGGAGGAACACCAGUGGCGAAGGCGGCCACCUGGACGGUGACUGACGCUCAGACCCGAAAGCGUGGGGAGCGAACAGGAUUAGAUACCCUGGUAGUCC